UGUGUGUUGUGUAUUGUGUGAAUGUAUGUGUGCGAGUUCAUUGGUUAAUAUCGUGUCGCUAGUCGCUACUUGCCACUUGCCACGCGUUUCUGUUGCUGUGUGGCAUUUCGCGUUUCAUUAACAUUUUUAGAUUAAACAUAUAAACGUUGACAACGAAACAGGAAACGUAAUUUUUUAAAUCGUUGUAAUAUUCUUAUAACCUAAAAUUUUUGAAAGUAUGUCUGUGCAAAUGUGAACAUCAGGACACAGGAAUCGUGCGACUGAGUUGUGGUCACAAUUACUCUGAAUCAUGUCGCAAUACGAAGACGUCAUUCUAGAGGCCAAAGAAAAAGAAGAAUGUAUGUCAGCAGAAUUAGGAGGAAUACGACAUCGUAUUCCAUGGAGCGAACGAGUAUUAUUAAAUAGUGAAAUACCUGGUUUCCAUGAAGUUAAAGAAUUAUUAGAUGAUGAUGAUGCAAGUUGUUUGGCAGAAGAGGAAGAUGGAGUCGGAUGUCCUUUGCCUUCAACUCCGGAAGAUGAUCAUCUCCUGGAUUGUGAGAUGACCGAAGUUCUGAAAGCAGGUGUAUUGAGCGAUGAAAUUGAUCUAGGUGCAUUAGCCCAUAAUGCAGCAGAGCAGGCGGAAGAAUUUGUUCGAAAGGUAUGGGAGGCAUCAUGGAAACAAUGCCAUUUUCGGAACUUGCCGAGAUGGUUGCAAGAUAACGAUUUUUUACAUGCUGGCCAUAGACCGCCACUACCCUCGUUUUAUGCAUGUUUUAAAAGUAUUUUUCGAAUUCAUACAGAAACUGGCAACAUCUGGACACAUUUGUUGGGCUGUGUUGCCUUUAUUGGUAUAGCUAUAUUUUUUCUAACACAACCUCCUAUAGAAAUUCAAUUGGAAGAAAAAUUGGUAUUUGGUACCUUUUUUGCUGGUGCUAUAAUGUGCCUAGGAAUGUCAUUUGCCUUUCACACAGUUCAUUGCCACAGUGAAUGUGUUGGAAAGCUAUUUUCAAAGUUAGAUUAUUGUGGCAUAGCAAUGCUUAUUAUGGGUAGUUUUGUACCAUGGCUUUAUUAUGGAUUUUAUUGCGACUAUCAACCUAAACUAAUUUACUUAUCUGUGGUGGUUGUCCUUGGUAUAACUAGCAUUGUAGUAUCAUUGUGGGAGCGGUUUGGUGAACCAAGCUAUCGUCCACUCAGAGCUGGAGUUUUUAUGGGAUUUGGACUUAGCGGGGUAAUACCAGCAGUACAUUAUGCUAUCGCCGAAGGUUGGUUCAAGGCGAUUAGCCAAGCAUCUCUUGGCUGGUUAAUACUGAUGGGAUGUUUGUAUAUACUAGGUGCAUUGUUUUAUGCUUUAAGGGUACCUGAACGUUUUUUCCCAGGGAAAUUUGAUAUUUGGUUUCAGAGUCAUCAAAUCUUCCAUGUAUUAGUAAUUGCAGCUGCUUUUGUACAUUAUCAUGGUAUUACAGAAAUGGCAAUGCAUAGAAUGACAAUAGGCGACUGUACAAAUCCGUCGCAGGUAUAUGCUUUUUAAAUCUGCGGGCACAUACUUCAUCUUGUUGAUAACUUUCAUGUCAUUAAUAUAUAUAAAGACUACAAAGAAUUUCCUAAAUCUUAUGCCAGUCGAUCUGUGCUGUUGAAAAAUAUGUUAUGUAAUUAACCAAAAAUUAAUGACUACAAAACUUUACAUAUAAAAGAAAUUUCAAUACGAAUGGAAUCUUAUUGAAAUUUCAAUGAAAUCAUAUUGAAAUAUGGUACUUGAACUGAAAUUCUCGACUUUCCUUGGAAAUGACAAAAGUUUACAUAUCAUUUUAAAAGAUACAAAUAUAAUCUAUCAAAUUCGAAUAGUAUAAAUGGAAUUCUAAAGAAAGUAUAUAAACUUAAAUAAGCAUAUGUAUUACUUAUUCUUAAAUUUUUUUUUCGAGAUAUAUGAAUUAUAUGUAAA